rnacentral:misc_RNA from 1 species
GUGCGAUAAGUAAUGUGAAUUGCAGUAUUCCGUGAAUCAUCGAAUCUUUGAACGCAUAUUGCACUUUCUGGUAUUCCGGAAAGUAUGCCUGUUUGAGGGUCAGUUAAAUAAAAAUCGGUGUUGUUGCUGCCUUUCGUGGUGACGCGUCGGAAUUGAGUUGUCUUACCUCCGGUUAAGUGACUUAAAAUUUUGCAUGAUUUUCGAACGUAUUUAAAUUGCUUACGUACGUUUGAGAUAUCGAAUACUUUUAUUAGGUUCAGUCAUCCUCAUGACUCGCGCCUAUAAUUUUUCAUUAAAUGACCUCAAAUCAGGUAAGAAUACCCGCUGAACUUAA